GAGGGGGCGGGGAGGGAGGGGAGGGAGAGAGGAGGAAGGGGUGAGAGGGAGAAACCUGCCGCGGCUCUCCGCCUCUUUGUCUGCUCUGGGACUUGGAACAAAAGGGGAAACUCUGAUGAACUCCUUCUCCAGCUCCCUGGACGCCCGAGUAUCUCUUUCUCGCAACUUUGUCAACGCGACUUUCUCCGCUGUCAGGCUGCGCAAAAGUAUCCUAGCGCCUCGCAGGCUGCAACAAUGGAAACAAUGUCCCUUCAAAGUGCGACGAAGUGGAGGGAGAAGGUGUCAUACCAGCGACUCCAAGAGUCAUGUCACCCACUUAGCAGGAGUACUUCUACUGAAAUGCCUUCGAAUUUCUCUUACUGGAUAUAUACCUACCAGCCGCUAGCAUGAAGAUGCCAGGACCGCUGCAAGUUAGCACUGGACAAAGUAGCAUCAACUUCUUCAUUUAGAGUUUCUUCAGUUAAAUUGCUGGGAUUUUCGACAAGGCUUUCCUUAUGUGGAUUAUUGGAGUGUGAUGCCCGAGAAUUCUCUACUUGUAGAAGCACGCCCACGGGACUGCAGAAGCCUUCACACCCACCCAGCACGCUCAGAAAGUACUGUCUUCAACCUUACCAAUGUCAGUGGCGGCGACGGUGGCGUCACCAUCACCAUCAGAGAAAAAGAAAUAUGCCUUUAUGUCAUGAUGGGAAUGAGUGAUGGCCAUCCAGUGACCAGCUGGAUCUGACUGCCUUACAAGACGCAUGUGUAUGAUUAAGAGAGAGACAUUCGUGACUCCCAGAUGUACCUCCUUCCUGUCCCACAGUGUUCCUGAAGGGAGUGAGUUAUGGGGUAACUUAUAACACAGCAGGCUCUUCCUCAAGAUAGCUCUUGUCAAAACAGGAAGACGAAACUCGGGUUUCCAUGAGGAGACCACAGCUUGGGAUCCUGUCUGGAUGUACAAGCAGAAGCAUCUUCAUACUUUUCCAUUUCUAACCAUCAUGCCUCACCCCACCCUCCCAAGGCGACAUCUGCAGAGAGGUGGAACCAUCUAGGGAGGCCUGCCACUGUUUGCUGAGCUCCGGGUGAGGAUGAAGACACUUUGACAUGGCCAGCUUCAGACUCGGGAUCUGUCGGUGUUAGCAGCCGAAGGAGAAUGAGGAGGAAGAGGAGGAGAAAGAGGAGGAGGAAGUAAGACAGAGGGGGACAAGAGGACCAAGAGGGCACAUGGCUGAGGAGGAGGAGAACAACAACAACAACAACAACAACAACAACAACAAGAAGCUUGGUGUUUUCAGGAUGUGUUCCUGAGUCUCGUGAGUAGCACAUGGCAGUUGUUGUCACCUUGGGCUGAGCCGUGAAGAUUCUCACCCUCCCUUGUUGGGGAUGAACUCCGGGAUUCUAAGGAGAGGUCAGCAGGUGUUUCACAGACUGUUCCUGUUGGAGGAUUUGUCUGAUACUCUUCUCCUGAUUAGUCUGGGCUCUACAUUUCCCCAAGGGUGAAACUUGGAAGCCCUCUCCAGGAUGCAGCAGGUAGCUGAGGAGAAAACGAAGACUGACCAGCCCAGAGCUCAGAGCUUCCUCCCAUGCUCAGGAUUUACCACCAAUGCCAUUACAUCGGCCUCUUCUUGUAUGCCUCUGGAAACCACAUGUGUCCUCUGUUUGUAAUGGUUUGGCUAUGGUUGCUGGCCCCUCUUGGACAUUGUUUUCAGAACUUAAAGAAACAUUGCUUUAAAGAUUUAUUAGAACAUAUUUAAAAUAAAACCAUCUUCUCAUUUAGUAUGCAAUUGAUUCUUCCCAUUUCCUCAGUCAAAACUCAUUGAUCAAAUUUAUUUGAGAAAUCCAGACAUGUAUAUAGCGUAUUGGGGUUAUUCCCAUCCUCCCCCAUAUUCUCUUAUCUCCCUUCCAGCCCUGACGCCCUCAGUCCUCCCUAUGGGCCUAUUCACACAAUCAUGUCUUUUUGUUUUAUGAACCAUUGAUUUUAACCGGGGCCAUCUGUGUUGCCAUGGCUUUAGAAUUAUCUACUGGAACUGGUUGGCUCAAAAUAGACAAAGACUUUCCCUUCCCCCAAGUCCAUCAUAGCUAGGAAUUCAGUCCCUCCGGUCCCCUCCCCAAUUCAUAAUUGACUGUUAGAAAGCCUAGUUUAAUGCAGGCCCUGUGUAGGUACCCAUAGCUACUGUGAGGUCACACCUGAAGAUGUGAAGCCCUUUUCCCUGUCUUCCAUUUCCACUUCUGUGUUCCCUGAGCCCUAGAUGGGAUAGUAUGAAUGUUCUGAUAAUCCGACCAAGUGGUAGUAUAUGUGUUCACUUAGAUAAAACAAAGACAAUACCAAUAGGAAAUGUAUUAUAAGCCCUGCACAUGCUAAAAAUAUAUGUAGCAAAUAACAUUAUUAUAUAAAUUCAGGGUCAUUGCUCUAUGUCAAUGUCAGUGACGUAUCAGUUUCAAAGGAUUUAUAUCACUGUUAAGUUAGAAAUAAUCCACUCUUGCUUGUUGUACAGUGCAUUUGUCCAGAUAGCCUACAAAAAUG